UCUCCAAGCUUGGCAACUUUAAGACUUGUGGGCUUCACCUCUCAGAUCAAAUAGGGCCAAAAACUAUUAACUAUUCAAUAAUUCAGUCCAGUUUUUUAAAGCUUAACACUGAUAACAGUUAGCAGUUCAACAGUGUAGAAUCUUUCAAGUGCCUUCAUUGCCAAAAUGUUGCCCGAAAUAAUGUUUGCACACAUGAGGAAAGCACCUGUGAUUCAGGAUUGUGGAAAUUCUGCUACACUCAACUGAUUAGCAAAAACUCUGUGAUGACACGUGUGAAACGUGGUUGUUCUCUGGUAUGCCGUAACUUGAAAAGGGGAGACAUCGACUAUGAAGAACGGAUGUUGUGCUGUGUGAGAGACCUCUGCAAUAGUCAUAACUUCUGGACAAAUGAGUAAAUGAAGGAAGGAAGAAAACCAGGGAUGUCCAACCUUGGCAACUUUAAGACUUGCAGACAUCAACACUCAGAAUUUCCCAGCCACCAUGAAUUUGGUGAGUUGAUGGGUCCAUGGGUCUUAAAGCUGCUAAGGUUGGAUACCCCUGAUGUAGACUCUGGGGUGAUUUAUGGGAAUAAUGGACUUAACUGGUUAUUUAUGGGUUGCAAGCAUGGAAAGGCUGAAUGCAUAAUUCAAUAUUGUACUAAUUUAAUGAUACCAGUUUGAAGCCCAUGGCUGCAGUUU